GAAAUGGAUACACUUCAAUUUGUUUCCUGUUGCUUUCUUUAGCAUUCUCACGAUGCAGCUAUGAAAUGUGAAGGAAUUUUAUUUUUGCGUCAUCCUUGUUGGUGCUACUGUUCUUGGUGAAACACAAUGGCCGGAGACCUUCAAGUCAGCAAAAGAAAAGGAGAUAUGGUAUGAUUAUAUUGGUAAUACAUAUUGUUUCAUCCAUAAAUUGUUAUUAAAUAAUUUUAGUUUCGAUUUUGAUAAACCUUUUAUGUGUUUUGAUCAUUUUCAUCAAUAUCAACCUAUAUUGAUGUAUACCGACUUAUUCCCACAAGAUUUUUAUAUUAAAUAAUUUUUAACUUUUUGUCUUAAACUUCUUUUUGCAAUAAAAUAUAAUCAUUAAAUUAUGUUAUUUAAUCUAAUUAAUAAUUUUAUAUUUUAUAUUUAUACAUAAACAUAUUUUUAUGUAUGUGAUUGAAGUAUAUUUAUAUGUAAUCAAUAUAUUUUUAUUAAGAAAUUAGACUAUAUAUAUGAAAAUAUAUAUAUUUAAAAACCAAUAAACUUGAAAAUAACAUUGUUGACCUAAAAUAGUUGCUAAGUCUCCAAGUUGUUAAAUAAGUAAGUAACAAAGGAAGGGUAGAAGUGCAACACCUCAAACCCAGACUAAACGUUAUGGUCAGAUAUGGAGAAGUUACCAUGAUUCACUUUGAAAUUCACUUUGAAAAUCUAGAAAUCAUUUGGCCUUGUGGAAAAUUGCAAGCUUUUGAUAACACAAUUCCAGUUUAUCUUAAAUGACAAUAUCUUCCUUACUUAAUUCGUUAAUUCUAUCGAUAAACACAUAUUUAUAAAAACACUGAUAAUUGCAGCAGAACUCUUAGCUAAAUUCAAUUUGAAAAUCGCAGUUUGAAUUUUGAAAAUCCAAUGUUUUGCUAAUAGUGUUGUUAAAAUUUUAAAAACGAUUAAACGGUUUAAAACAGAAAAUUUAAAGUUCAAAACAAAAACAGUUCCAAAUGUUCGAAACAGUCCAACAGAACAAAAACAAAAUAAACCAAGUUUUUAAAUAGCACAAAUUAUCUGUGUUUAACCGAGCUCCUAUCGCAUCGACCCGUCCUAUAUUUGAGAGUUACUUGAGAGUCAAACAAACAGAGAAUGAGCUUAUAAGCUCAAUGUGUAACUUAUAAUAAUAACAACAGAUACAAUUUCAGACAUGCGUUCGAAUUUCAAAUAGACAUAUUUCACAAAAAAGAAACAGAAUCAUAACAUAUCAUAAACAUAUUUUAAAUCCUACACCCAUUCGCUACACACCAUCUCUGACUAUCCCUACACACCAUAUAGGAUAUUAAACACCCAUCCAGCCCUACACAUCGCUAAGUGACUGUAUGUCACUUUUUAGAAUAUUUGCAGCCUAGCUGCCAGAUCAUUAGGCGAUAAUUCGCUAGAAACAGAUAUAUAUGUGGUUGAGUAACCAAAUAUGACAAAUAGAUUAAACUGCCCACACUUCCUCCAUAAACAUAUUUCUCACCCCAAUGCACAUGCAGAACUAAAAUGUAUAUGACAUACAUGCUUUAUAUACCAAAUUCAGAUCAUGCUUAGCAAAUAACAUAUCAUACUUAAAAUAAUACAGAUCAUAGUUACCAUAAUACAGAUCAUACUUAGCUUAUAACUUAUUAACCAUGCGUACAUAAAUCGUAUUUAAUGUUAACAGAACAUCAGAGAUAAUGAUUUAUAGCCUAAUUUGUGUCAUACGAACCCUACGAAAGGCCUACGUUCGACUCGUAUGACGAAUACUUCCCUGGGAAAAAUUUUAGAAUUUGGGCCCACACACUCGUGUCACCCAUGCAGCCUACUUGGCCAGUGUGUGUGGGCCACACAACCUAACACACGAUCUCACACACAUCCAUGUGGCCCACACAGCCCAAUUGGCCCAGACCAUGCAUACGGUCUAGCACACAGUCUGUCAUACGACCAUGUGGUACACAUGGCCUGGCACACAAUAGUGUGGCGUUGACAGUCUAUUUUUUGGCUUUCAGACGUUCACGAGUUUUCAGUUUUUCGUUGCACACUUGAUCAAUUUUCGAUGUAGACCCAAAGACGAAUACUCCAAUACCUAAAAUGACCAUUUAUACAAAUUAAUUAACUUAGUUUUACAAAAAACAAACGCUAAAUCAUGACCCAAAAACAUCAAUUAAACUUCAAUACAGAAAACUCAACCUUAAAUAGUGACGAAUACAGUCACUUACCCUUAAGAACAGCAACCCACAAUAAUUAAGUCGCUGAAGGAACACCAAACAUCUCACAAUUCUCCCUUAAUUGAACAUUAAAAUGACUAAUUCCAUAACCCAAAAAUUAACACAUUCAUUCUUACCAACCAUGUAAAAACACAUCAAAAUGAAAACUCAAGACGAAAAUUAACCAAACUUACCGACAAGCAGUGACAAUAACGAGAGGAUAAUCAAUAAACCAAGACCAAAUCAUAAAUAAGUGUAAAGAAAGGAAAGAAGGGAAAAGCUCAAAAGAAAAGAAGAAAAAUAUGAGCGUGACUUGAGAGAAAACAGAAAAACAAAACAAAACAAAACAAAAUGGUAGGAGUGGAGAGAUGUGGGAGCAAAAAUUUGGGGAGAACUUAGGGGAAAAUCAAAUUAAUUUUAAAACAACCCAAAUCUAAUCCUACUAACCACUAAUUAGAUUUCUGGUAACUAACUAUAUUAUCAAGAGUUUGAAAUUGACCCAAAAUCAUCCACCUAGGUGACUCAAUCAGAAAUAACAAAAAUAUUGACAAUUUGCUCACCCAGAGAUUCAAUCUCAUGACCAUAUGAUAAGUUAACACCUUACCCCUGAACUAGUAGGCUCAUUUUGUCACAAGUUGAACGAAAAUAACUUUUAAGCCAAGUAAACAAGGAUAGGGCUAGGAGUAAAAAUAACUGAAUUUUCCCAGAAGAGAGAUUUGAACCCAUGACCUCAAGCACACAUUCAAAGCCCUUAUCUACUGAAGCAUACACUUAAUUAUGAUAGGAUUUAACAAAUCAAAAAUUCAAAUUUCUGAGGCAUUACAACUCUCCCCCUAAAAGAAAUUUUAGCAUCGAAAUUUUACCUGAUUCAAAUAGAUACGGGUAUUGCUGUCGUAUCAAGUCCUCAAGUUCCUAAGUGGUUUUCUUAGUGCCAUGAUUCCGCCAUAAAAACUUAACCAAAGGAAUGGUCUUCCUCCUCAAGACCUUAAUAUCACGAUCCAGAAUCUGAACCGGCUCCUUCUCAAAGGCCAAAUCUAGUCUUACCUCAAUCUCCCCAACUGAUACAAUAUGAUAUGAGUCAGACCGAUACCGUCUUAACAUAGAGACGUGGAACACAUCGUGAAUAUGAUCUAACUUCGGAGGUAGCUCUAACUGAUAGACGACUGAUCCAACAUGUUUUAGAAUCUGAUAAUGCCUAAUGAACCUAGGGCUCAACUUGCCCUUACGUCUAAAUUGAAGACCUUUAUUCCAUGGAAAUACCUUAAAACAAACUUGGUCACCCGCAGAAAACUUGAUAUCUCUCAUCUUGAGAUCUAAAUAUGACUUCUAUCUAUCAGAAGCUGCCUUAAGACGAUCUGAAUCAGUCGAACCUUGUUCAUAGUAUCAUAAACCAACUCAAGACCCAAAAUUCACCUCUCACCCAACUCAGUCCAACACAAAAGAUACAACACUUACGACCGUAUGGAGCCUCGUAAGGUGCCAUUUAAAUACUGAACUAAAAUCUGUUAUUAUAAGUGAAUUCAGCCAGUAGCAGAAACUCCUCCCAACUAUCACGAAAGUCAAUUACACAAGAUCGUAGCAUAUCCUCCAUAAUCUGAAUCACUCUCUCAGAUUGCCCAUUAGUCUUAGGAUGGAACACAGUACUAAAGUCCAACCAAGUACCCAAAGCCUCAUGAAGUUUUUUCCAAAACUGAGAAGUGAAACAAGAGUCUCUAUUAGAUAUAAUCGAGAUAGGAACCCCAUGAAGUCUAACGAUAUCGAAAAUGUACAGUUUAGCCAAUCUUUGUAGAAAAUAACCAGUCUUGAUUGUAAUAAAAUAAGCAAACUUGGUCAAACGAUCCACAAUGACCCAUAUAGAAUCCUUCUUAGUAGGUGUUAAGGGCAACCCAUUAACGAAGUCCAUAGUCACAUGCUCCCAUUUCCAAAGGAGAAUCUUAACGAGUUGAAGCAAACCCGAUGGCAGUUGGUGCUCAGCCUUAACUUACUGGCACGUAAGAUAAUUAUAGAUGAAAUCAAUUACCUCCCAUUUCAAACCAAGUCACCAGUAUAACUCUUACAGAUCCUGAUACAUCUUAUUUCCACCAUGAUGCAUAGCGUAUGACCUACUAUGCACUUUUCACAAAAUAGAAUGCAUUAACUUAGCACCGUUAGGCACACAAACCCGUCUUCUAAAACACAAAACCUCAUCACCAUUCAACCCAAAAUCAAAAGUCCUACAUUUUUCAACCUGUCAAAAUCGUAGAAUAAUAGAACCAUCCACUGACUAUUUAAUCCAAAUCCGAUCAAUCCAAGUCAGCUUAACUUGCAAGUUAGCUAACAAAUUACCAUCAUCAAACAAACUUAGGCGAGCAAACGUUGCUCUCAAAUUGAUCAUUGAUUUACAACUAAGAGUAUCGGCCACAACGUUGGUCUUACUAGGUUGAUACUCAAUAGUGUAGUCGUAGUCCUUAAGCAACUCAAUCCAUCUACGUUGCUUAAGAUUCAACUCCUUCUAAAUAAAAAGAUACUUAAGGCUCUUUUGAUCAGUGUAAAUGAUACACCUCUCACCAUACAGAUAGUGCCUAUAGAUUUUUAAAGUGAAAACAACCGCAGCCAACUCAAGAUCGUGUAUGAGAUAGUUGCCUCCAUGUGACUUAAGCUGUCAAGAUGUUUAAGCCACUACCUUACGAUCUUACAUUAGAGCACAAACCAACCAGAUGUGAGAAACAUCCUUGUAAACCACAAAUUCUUUACUACAUUUAGGCUAUAUCAAAACGAAUGUAUGAGUCAGAACGGGCUUAAGCUUUUCAAAGCUCAAUUACUGCUCAUUGGCCUACAAAAAAGGUAUGUUUUUACGCAACAACUUAGUUAAAAAACCUGCGAUAAGCGAAAACCCCUCAACAAAUCUUCAAUAAUGCCUCACUAAACCGAGAAAGCUUCAAAUCUUAGACACAUUCCUAAGCUAUUUCCAUUCAACCACAACUUCAAUCUUUUUAGGGUCGACUCAAAUUCCCUCAGCAGAAGUCACAUGUCCUAGAAAAGUAACCUUUCUUAACCAGAACUCACAUUUGUUCAACUUAGCUUAGAGUGUUUCUCACAGAGUAUCUGCAAAACUACUCUAUGAUGUUCAUCAUGGUCAUCCUCUGUCUUAGAGUAUACCAGAAUAUCGUCAAUAAAAAUCACGAUGAAAUGAUCCAAAUACGGUUAGAAAACUCAAUUCAUAAUAUCCGUAGAUGCAGCCGGAGUAUUCGUCAAACCGAAUUGCAUGACUAGGAACUCGUAGUGCCCAUAACGAGUCCUAAAGGAAAUUUUAUGUACAUCAGCCUCUUUAACCUUUAGUUAAUGGUACCCAAAAUGAAGAUCAAUCUUUGAUAAUACAAAGGCCCCACGAAAUUGAUCGAACAAGUCAUCAAUCCUCAGAAGUGGGUACUUAUUCUUUACCGUCAAUUUAUUCAAUCGGUGGUAAUCCAUACACCUUAGAGUACCACCUUUCUUUUUAAUGAAAAGAACUGAUGCUCCCCACACGGACACACUAAGUCUGAUCAACCCUCGACCAAAAAGUUCCUAAAGCUGAGCUUUCAAUUCCAUAAGUUCUUUCGGUGUAACAGCCCAUUUUUAAUAAAAUUAGAAUAGUGGUUUCGAGACCAUAAAUAUGAUGUGAGAAUAAUUAUUUUAUUCUAAUUUUAGUGUCUACAGUAUGUUAGAAAGUUUGUAUAAAAAUUUUGUUAAGAAAUUUUAUCGUUUUUAUGUUUAAUUUGAUGAAAAGGACUAAAUCGUAAAAUAUGCAAAAUUAGAGUUUUUAAGUUAAAGGUACUAAAUGGCUAUGAAAUUAAAUGGUUAAGGGAUUUAUGUGGUAAUUAUACCAUUUUUAGUAUGAGUGGACAAAUAUGGACAUUAGAUAGGUGUUUUUAUAUGUUAAUAAUAUGGUUAAAUAAGUAAUUUAAUAAUAAAUGUUAGUAAAUUAAUGAAAAACCAAAGCUACCAUCUUUGUUUUUCAUCUUCCACUGAAAAUUGACCUAAGAAAACACUAUUUUUAACAUCUCAAGCAUUCGACCAUCUCUCCCUAUUGCAUGUAAGUAUUUUUCAUUCUGUUUUUAAUGAUUUUUAUGUUUUUGAAGUCGUUGUAGCUUAAUCUAGCUAGCCCAUGGACUAAUUUGCAAAAUUGUUAAAAGGUUAGCAUUUUGCUAUGAAUAUAUUCAUGUGGUUUUUGAUGUUUGAUGAAAGAAAAUAAAUCUUUGUUGAUAGAUAAACAACUUUUGUAAAGUGAAUUUUGUUGAAAAUAUCAAAUAGGGAUUUAUUUGUCAAAUGUGUGAAGUACAUGGUGAAAAUUAUGAAAUAAUGAAUCCCAUUUUAAGAGCUUAAGGACUAAAAUGUAAAGAAGUUAAAAUGUUAGGGGUAAAAUUAUAAUUAUGUAAAAAAUGUGUUUUUGUGGAUCGAAUUGAAUAAUUGAGAUUUAUUGAAACAUUUAAUUGAAAAUACUUAUUUAUUUAGAUCAAGAUAUAUCUCAGCCAGUUAUAAACCGAGGUAAAGCGAAAGUCAUGGAUUAGCUCGAUCGUACUCUUAUGCGUUAGUUGGCAAUGUAAGUUCAUAGUAUUUAGAUGUAUAAUUGAAUUUCCCUAUAUAUAUUUUCAUCUUAUAACCAUUUAAUAAAAUACUUACGUUAAUUUUACCUGAUUGUACAUACGUGCCCCUAUUUGAACUUCGGUACCCCUGAUUGCACAUACAUGCCCCUGUUUGAACUUCGGUACUCCUGAUUGCACAUACGUGCCUCUGUUUGUACUUCGGUACCCCUGAUUGCACAUACGUGCCCCUGUUUGUAUUUUAGUACCCCUGAUUGCACAUACGUGCCCCUGUUUAUACUUCGAUAAUUUCAAUCGAGUAAAAUAAAAGUUGAAUUCAAUUGAUGAUAAGUUAAAAGAUUUAAUAUGUUCUUACUAAGCUCUGAAAGCUUAUAUGUUUUUGUGUAUUAUUUUGCAUAUCAUUAUCACUGACUUUAGGACAGAUCGAAUCUACGGCUCGCACUAUCCAUCGAUGUUGGUAGUUCUUUUUCUCUUUAGGGUUGUGGCAUGUAUAUGUGGCUAUAUAUGUUGUUUUGGUAUAAUAUGGGGAAUUACUAAACUAGGUGAUUAGGUACUUGUCUAAGUUUGUGAAUAGGUAUUUGUUGAUACAAAUAAAAUGUUAUGAAAGUAAACACUUACGGAUUGUUUUGGUUUUGUUGAUGAAUUAAGUUGAUAUGUUUGGUUUAUAAAUAUUGUAUAUUGGUUGGUGUGCUUUUGGCAUUUUCUAAGUUUAUUGAAGAAUUAAGCUCCUCAUCGAACAUCACAGGAAAAACACACUCAUCAUAGUCUAAACAAUUCUUGGCAGUUAUGUGUGGUAUGACAAAAUGAAUGGAAAAUGAAUAAAAAUACUAAACACGAAUGAUCAACUAAAUAUCUAAUGCAGUUUAGAUGCACAAUACACCCCCAAACCAAAGGGAUGCAUUGUCUUCAAUGCAUGUACAAAUAUGAAUCAUGAAUGCAAGAACAUAUAUAUGUACAUAAUGAGCUGUAAUAAAGGGAUAAAAACUUCCCGAGCUUGGAACUGAAUGGUAAUACUUUAAUUGCCAUGAGUGGUCUUUCGUGCACUUAUCUUAUAAUGCAUCGGCCUUUUAAGUAAAUUAAGUAGUACAUCCUCCUAUUCAUUAUCAAAUUUGGUGAGCUCAUCAAUAACCCGAUCGAUCUCACGAUCUUGUUCAGUCAUCAGUUCAGUAGAAGGAGGUGGAACAGUCGCAAUGCUGUCCACUGGUGGUGCAAUUAAGGGAUUUGCUUCAUCUUCUUCCUCACGGUCAGUCUCAAUGUUGACAGACUUUGUUUUCUCUGGUUCUUCCUCUGGUGCUUUGGGUACAUUCUCUUCAUUAGCAAGAUUCAUCUCAACAGGCCCUGUGUCACUAACCCUUUCCCCUCUUGCAGUUUAUUAAACAAAGGAAAUGAAAUAACUAAGAGAAAAAUAAAUCGAUAAAAUGAAAUAAAAAUAAAAAAAGAAUUUUCAAGAUGUUGAAGUUAAACAUAUUGAAUAUCAAUGGACUGUUUGUCUCGCUCACCCUAGUAAUGCUUCAAGCGUUGUCCAUUAACUGUAAAUGUGUCCUCCGUUUUCAUGUCAUUGACAUCAACAGUUCCAUACGGAUAUACAUGAGCUACCAAGCAUUGCUCAUCAAAAUUGAAAGAUCUAUUUUGCUCCAGCAAAGUGCACAAUGGUCUCCGCUCAAAUGAAUCUUCAUCACUAUCAGAAUUGCUAUGGCAAAAUCUCGUGAACUCUUCGCCCAUUGUUGCUCCUAUGAAGCCAUUGGCACGAUAUUGUUCAUUCUCAUCAGCAUAUUUCAGUACAUUAAAUACAUUGAAUGUGACAUGCUGAUCAGUCAUCCUCAUAGUCAAUUCACCUUUCUAUACAUAAAUUAAAGUGAUACCUGUAGCAAGAAAAUGUCUUCCAAGAAUAAUUGACAUAUAUUUGUCAACUUCACAAUCUAAAAUAAGGAAAUCUACCGAAAAAAUAAACUUAUCUACACUUACUAGUACAUCUUAAAUUUUACCUUACGAAUGUGCGUAGGAUCGAUUAGCCAGUUGCAACGUAACCGUAGUAGGUCUUGCCUUCCCAAUUCCCAACUUCUUAAAAAUAGACAGUGGCAUUAGAUUUAUACUCGCUCCUAAAUCACAUAAUGACUUACCAACAAAACAAUUUCCAAUUGAACAUGGGAUAGUGAAACUCCCUAGGUCAUUCAAGUUUGAAGGUAACUUAUUCAUCAACAUUGCUGCGCACCCUUCAGUGAUAGCAAUAGUCUCAAAUUCUCCCAAUUUGUUCUUCUUUGAUAGUAUAUCUUUCAUAAAUUUCACAUAAUCGGGCAUCUGGUCCAAAGCUUCUACUAGCAAUAUGUUGAUGUGAAGUUACAUCAAGACAUCCAAGAAUUUUUUUGAACUGAAAACCUUGCUUAGAUUUUUGAAAUCGUUGAGGAAAAGGUAGAGGUGGUCAUCUUCAGAUUGCUAAUAUUGAUUUUUCUGUGGCAUUUAUGUUGGCAGCACAAUCUGAAUCUAUUACCACAUUCUUUUGAUUAGCCUUUUCAGCUGCAGUGUACCAUUUAGAUGGCUUUGGGAUCUUCACAUGGUUGUUAUUCGGGUUAUCCUCUCCUACCAUGGCAUCUUAAGCAACGUUAUUCAACUAAGUUCCACUUCUGAGAGUGAUCACUUUGCAAUGCUCUUUUUCUUGUGAUCUCGAAUUCUCAGUAUCACUUGAAAAAGCUCCUUUUGACCUCAAAUUUAGAGUAUUUGCUAUCUACCCCACUUGAUUCUCAAGAGCUCUGAGGGAUGCAGCUUGACUCUGGAUCACAACAUCAUUUUUGCCCAUAUAUUCCUUCAACAGAGCUUCCAUAGAUGAAGAAGAUGAUGUUGAACUUCGUGGAACAUUUUGUCAUAGCUUGGUUUGAUUAUAACCAAGUGGUGCAUUUGUGGCAUUCUGUCUAACAACAUUGUUGGAGUUCACCACUCAUUUAUUAUUCCAACUAAAGUUUGGAUGUUGCUUCCACCCUGGAUUGUAGGUGUUGGAAUAUGGGUUAUUGUUCUGGUUGAAAUAACCUAUGUAAUACAAAGAGGUUGGGUUUGAUGGGCAUUCAUCAUAAACAUGAUAUUCCCCAUAAUAAACAUAUGAUAGCUCGACUGUUUUCAUCUUCUAAACUACAGUUAGUCUUUUUACUAUUUUGAUCAUAUUAGCUAAAUAUGAUCCUGAGCUGUUUAUGAAAUGAUUGCAUCAAGCUCCAUUGUGCCAGGAACUCUUCUACCAGUCCCCACUCUCAUAGUAAGGUAUUAACAAUCAUUGUUGGCAAUCCAUUCCAAAAUGUAAUACGCUUCAUUAUAUGAUUUAUCCAAUAAAGUACCAUUGGCAGACGCAUCAACUACCAUCAUUGUAUGUGUGUUUAAUCCAUCGUAAAACAUUUCCAUCUGUGUCUAAUGUUAGAAACCAUGCACCGAACAUUUCCUAAGUAAUUCAUUGAAUUGCUCCCAACAUCUCUUCCUCUGAUUGCUGAAAAGAUGUGAUAUUAUUCCUUAACUUGACAUUCAUAUUUGGAGGAUUUUAUCAUAGAAAAAACCUUUGACAAAAAUCAUUCCAAGAUGCCACCAUCCCUGACGGUAAAGCACUCAACCAUGCUCUGGCACGAUCUCUUAAUGAAUACGGAAAUAGUUUAAGUUACAUGGCGUCUUCAGGAACACCCUAUUGAUUGAAUGAGUCACAAACUUCCAAUAAAACUCUUAAGUGCAGUCGUGGAUCUCUAGUAGGCAAUCCACUUAACUAUCAUACCAUUUGUAGCAUCUGAAACAUUACCAAUUUUAACUAGAAAUGCUAAGCUUUAAUGUGUGGCCUGACUAUUCCUGGAUUCAAAUCAUCCAAAAUUGGCACAACAUGCUCUCAAAUGGGUCUAUCUCUAUCAUCCAUCACACGAAGGAUAGGUAAAUCAGCAUCCCAACCAUUCAGUUGUAAUGGAUCUUCCCUACUUGCAUCAUUUCCAAUCCUAGCCAUAUCUUGCAAUUCUCGUCUCAUUCUUCUCAAAGUUCUCUUGAUUUUUGGGUCAAAAGGAUACUCUUCGUUAAUAGGAAUGCCUCUACUCAUACACUAACAACAAAGUUAAAUAAAACUAAUUGAAUUAUAUAAGAAAAAAAACAAAACCAAAUUUUAACAAAUUGUCGAUCCCCAGCAACGGAGCCAAAAACUUGUCACGUGUGAAUAUAAUGUGUGAAUGUGCAAGUCUACACAUCGAAUCAAGUAAUAAAGUAGUAAGUAAGAUCAUCUCCUCAGGGAACAAAUAGGAUUAAUUAGGUUAAGCUAUUACUAUAAACUAUAUGAAUCAGGCUAUGACAAAACAGAAUAACAAUUUGUAGAGGAAUAAUCACAUAUGCAAUAUUAAAAUCAAAUAACUAACUUAAAAUGUUGUGGCAAAGAUACGAAAACAAAGUUCAGAGAAUCUACGUUGUUGAAUAGGACCAUUGAGAUUACUAAGAUUCUUUCCUCAUAACACAAUAAUGCCAUGGCAAAAUCUUAACCAAUCAACUAUUCAGAAUAAAUCUAAGGUAGUCUGCUUAUAUUGAGUGUCAGACUUCAAGCUACCCUACCUAAGACUUUGCAUGUCUACAAGCCUCAAGAAGGAUACCCAGCACUGUUUCUUCCUUUCUCUAUACAGAGCGCAGCUCUAUGUCUAGAGUGCUACGAGUAUUCUUUCCAAUAUUGCUUGUAUCAUUCGAUCACAAUCCAACUCAUCUAACCUUUUCAGAAUUAAAUCAAGUUUAUGGACAUACCAUACAUUCAUCUAUGACUAGAGACUGCAUACAUACAUUUUAAAAUAGCGCAAAUCGAAUGAAACAAUAAAUCUAAUCAGGAUAAUGCCUUGGUCAUUAAAGAAACUAAAGAUUCAUCCAGUAAUCCCAACCUGAUAAGAUUAGCUCAUCAGUUGGAAAUUAAAAUCGAAACUAAAAGUAUCAUUCAUCAACAUAUUUUCACAAUUAAAAUUCAUAGAAAUCAAUUAAGAUAAUGAAGGAAGAACUUCAGGAAACUUUCACUAAUCCAGCCCUCAACUCCAGUGUUGCAAUAUCUUGCGAAGCACAGGGUUGAAUGCUUCUCUUUCUUCCUUGUGUUGUGGCUUUGUUCCUUAGCUGCUACCUUAUUUCCUUGUGUCUCUGGAUCUCCCAAUAGAAAUUGUAUGAGAGGAAAAAUUGCCUCCCUCCUCUUUUUCUCUUUCUUCUUUUUAUAGGGUAAGUCCUCUUCUUAGCACACACUCUUUUCUCCCUUUUUUAACUGGAUAUUUCUAGUACAAGUACAGUUGGCUGAGAGUGGCACAGAUUGACAUCUAAGUCAGCAUCUUCCUGGAAUUGCCAUGCCAUUUGUGCUAGAAAUCUAUCCAACCAUUUUUCAUGACAAAACUUCUCUCAUUCACUUAUUUCCUCCUUUCUGCACCUGUUAUAAACAACACGCAAUUUCUUUCCUCCUACAACUAAAAGUAACAUAUAGUAACAUUGAAAACACAAUUCAAGCUUCAUAAUGGAAUGUUAUAAAAAUAUUAAUAUAAUUUCCUAAAAUGCAAAUAAAUUUACUCAAGCACGAACAAUUAACCAAGUCUAGAGGCCUGAAAUAUAACUUUUUUCAAUAGUUAUCAGCAACCUCAUCAAUUUCUCGAGAAAAUAUCUAAAAAUUCUUUAACUGUCCAAAUAUCCCCAACAUACGAUUCCACAAAACCAAGUCUUGCACAUAAGCCAAAAAUGUCUCACACCCUUUCCGAACUAACUUUUCGGCUACAAGAGCGGAUAUCACAUUGGAGAGGUAAUCUUGACGCUCGCCGAUCAUGAUAAUCUCCAUAUCAUCCUCAGAUCUCAGAAUUACCCUCUUAGUAGCACAAUCUAAGUUAACUCGAUGCUUCACGAGCUAGUCCAUUCCCACUAUCAAAUCAAACUCUUCGAACGGUAACUCUAUCAAAUUAGCCAAAAACACAACACCUUAUAUCUCCAGUGGACACCUUCUAUAACCCUUAUUAACCCGUACCAUCUGACCCAGUGGACUACUGACAGAAACCUCACCAGAAGUACUCUCAACAAGAAUUCCCAAAUUUAUAAAAACAAUACUAGAUAUGUAUGAGUGAGUAAAGUCAAUAUCUAUCGGUGUAAAAUAUGGAACAAAAUUAAUAUAGAAUGUACCAUCUAUCACAUUAACGGUGCCGUACCGCGUACACCAAAGCAGGCUACCUAGCCUCAGUUUGAUUUGCACCUCUGCCCCCCAUUCCUCUCUGAACCUACCAAACCAUUACCACCUCUGGCCUGCCCACGUCCCCGAGGUGGCUGCUGAACUGCCCUCUAAGGCUGAACCAAACCCGGAGCUUGAGCUUGCACCUAACUAGAGCAGAGCAGCCAAUCCCUAAUACGGUGCUCCACAGACCUGCAUCGUAGACAAGCUCCCAAUCUCCUCCAACACUCGCCCGGAUGGCGCCUAUCACAAUCUCAACAACUAAGUCUCAAAAAAUAGUAAUUGGUGCCUCAAUCCAUAAAGGCCAAUCGAACCUAACCUGUUUCUUAGGCCACUGAACAGAGCUAGAAGGACCCAAAUCCCUCUGAUUUUUACUCUGGCCCCUCUCUUUCUCUCUCUUUCCGCACUCCACGCGCUUAAUAUCCUCAGUAAUCUCAGCCUUCUCCACUAGAGUUUCAAAGACUCGCUCCCUCUAUGGAGCCAUCAAUACCUUAAUAUCAUACCUCAAUUCCUUCUCAAAUCAAAUACUCUUAUCAUAGUCAGUCUCUACUAACGCACGAGCAUAUCUGCUUAGGCUAAAAAAUCUGGCUUCAUACUCGGCUAAAAUCCUAUCUCCCUGAGUUAAGCUCAUAAACUUGCAUCUACAAGCCUCUACAUAACUCGCCCUCACGUACUUGUAUUGGAAGGCAUUUGGGAAAUAAUACCAAGUUACCGAUUCGGGUUGAGUACCCUCCUUAAUGGUCAGCCACCACUAGUAGGCUUCAUAGCGAAGCAAUGAUGCUGUAACCUUUAGUUUCUGCUCAGGAGUGCAGUCUAUAUCAUUCAUAAUCUUUUCUGUGGCCGCCAACCAAUACUCGGCCACAGUUAGGCCGACCCUAGUGACACCCCUAAAUAACUCUUCUCUAUUAGACCAGAGUCGUUCAGUUACCGACCCUCGGCUCCCAAAUUCAGAAUGGGUUCCAUCGACCCUCUUAAGAACUCUUAACAUGGCUUGGGACAAUGUGUUGUCCCCAUUCGUCUAAGUCUGAUACCUUACCUCAGCAGUAGGCGUACCCAUAGUCUCGCUCAUAUCCAAAUUAGGCAUACUACCUAUCAAGGAUGGCUCAACACGAGCCCCUCUUUCAUGCCCACCACGCCCACGGGUACCUCGUCCAUGAGUACCUCAUCCACGAGUUCUAGGCAUACUCAUUGUAAAUUAUCUUCAUUUUAAGAUUUUUGUGUAUUGGUUUAGGAGUUUGUUAUCAAAUAUUUUAUGUCCAAAAUUUUAUCAAAAAAUUUUUCAGAGUUUGUUACUGUCUUUAACCACAACAGAGUGAUUCUAAUACCAUAAUUGUUUUCUAAAACAAAAUUUUAGCGAAGACAGAAGGAAGAGACUCGGUAUUCUUUAAACUCAUUUAUCAGAUUUAAACAAAAAUAUAUUUUGUUCGAAAAAUACUUUUCACAAAAGAAAAUUUGAACCCAAAAUCACAGAGUAAGUUUUGAACCUGGCUCUGAUACCAUAAAAUGUAACACUCAAAACCUAACCUAGACUUUAUGGCCAAAUCUAGAGAAGUUACCAUGAUUCACUUUGAAAAUUCAGGAAUCAUUUUAGCGUGUAGAAAAUUACAAGCUUUUGAUAACACAAUUCCAGUUUAUCUUAAAUGACAACAUCUUCCUUACUUAAUUUUUUAAUUAUUUCGAUAAAAACAUAUUUAUAAAAACACUUAUAAUGGCAGCAAAACUCUUAGCUAAAUUCAGUUUGAAAAUCGUAGUUUCAAUUUUUAAAAUCCAAAGUUUUGUUGAUAGUGAUGUUAAAAUUUUAAAAAUGAUUAAAUAGUUUAAAACAUAAAAUUGAAAGUCCAAAACAAAAAUAGUUCCAAAUGUCCGAAACAGUCCAACAGAACCAAAACAAAAUGAACUAACUUUUUAAGUAACACAAAUUAUCUAUGUUUAACCGAGCUCCCAUCACACCGACUCAUCCUAUGUCUGAGAGUUACCUAAGAGUCAAACAAAUAGAGAAUGAGCUUACAAGCUCAAUAUGUAACUUAUAAUAAUAACAACAUAUACGAGUUCAGACAUACGUUCGGAUUUCAAACAGACAUAUUUCACAAACAAAAACAGAAUCAAAACACAUCAAAUAUAGAUUUUAAAUCCUACCCCAUCUGCUACACAUCAUCUCUGACCAUCCCUACACACCAUAUAGGGUAUUAAACCCAUCCAGCCCUACACACCACUAAGUGACUGUAGGUCACUUUUCAGAAUAUUUGUAGCCUAACUGCCAGAUCAUUAAGCAGUAAUUCGCCAGAAUCAUAUAUAUAUUUGGCUAAGCCACCAAAUACGUCAAAUAGAUUAAACCGCCCACACUUCCUCCAUAAACAUAUUUCCCACCCCAAUGAGCAUGCAGAACUAACAGGUAUCAUAAAUGUAUAUGAUAUACAUGCUUUAUAUACCUAAUUCAGACCAUACUUAGCAAAUAACAUAUUAUACUUAACAUAAUAUGGAUCAUACUUAACAUAAUACAGAUCAUUCUUAGCAUAUAACUUAUUAAUCAUGUGUACAUAAAUCGUAUUUAACAUUAACAGAACAUCAGAUAUCAUGAUUUAUAGCCUAAUUUGUAUCAUACGGACCCUACGGAAGGCCUACGUCUGACUUGUACGACGAAUACGACCCUAGAACACAUUUUAAAAUUUGGGCCCAUAUGCCCGUACGGCCCACACAGUCUACUUGGCCAACCUAUGUGGCCCACAGGGUCUUAUACAUGCCCGUGUGGCCGACACGACCUACUUGGCCAACCCGUGUGGACUACACGUCACCCACGUCCAUAUGACCCACACGGCCCAAUUGAUCGAGAUGAUCUAGCACACGGUUUGUCAUGCUGUUAUGUGUUGCACACAGCUUGGCACACGACCGUGUGGCAUAGAUAGUCUAUUUUUUGGCUUUCAACCAUUCGCGAGUUUUCAGGUUUUCGUUACGCACCUAGUCAUUUUCAAUGUGGACCCAAGGACGAAUACUUUAGUACCUAAAACGACCAUUCAUAUGAAUUAAUUAACUUAAUUUUACAAAAAUUGAGUGCUAAAUCAUGACCCAACAAUGUCAAUCAAACUUCAAUACAGAGAACUCAACCUCAAACAGCGAUGAAUACGGUCACUUACCCUCAAGAACAAGCAGCGACAACAACGAGAGGAUAAUCAAUAAACUAAGACCCCAUCGUAAAUGAGCAUAAAGAAAGGAAAGAAAGGAAAAGCUUAAAAGAAAAGAUGAGCAUGACUUGAGAGAAAACAGAAAAAAAAAGAAAAAAAAUGGCAGGAGUAGAGAGAUGUGGGAGCAAAAAUUUAGGGAGAAGUUAGGGGAAAAUCUAAUUAAUUUUAAAACAACCCAAAUCUAAUCCUACUAACCACUAAUCAAAUUUCUGGUAACUAACCGCAUUAUCCAAAGUUUGAAAUUGAUCCAAACUCAUCCACCUAUGUGACCCAAGCAAAAAUAACAAAAAAAUAUUAUCAAUUUUCGAACACAUGACCAUACGAUAAACUAACACCUUACCACUAAACCAACAAGCUCAUAUGUCACAAGUUCAACGAAAAUAAUUUUAAGCCAAAUAAACAAGGAUAGAGUUAAGAGAAACAAUAACUUAAUUUUUCCAAAAAAAAAAAUUUUGAACCCAUGACCUCAAGCACACAUUUAAGGCCCUUAUCCACUAAAGCACACACUUAAUUAUGAUAGAAUUUAACAAAUUAGAAAUUCAAAUUUUCGAGGCGUUACAAGAAGUGUCUGUAGAAGUGGGUAUUUCUGCAAAAAUUAUGACAAAAACAAUGAAAACAAGAGACAGUAAAGUUGUUUAUGCAGUUUAGUUUUCCUAUAUCUGUAAAGUCUAGCUCAAUGAGAUGAAUCCACUAUCUUUGAAGCAAAUACAAGUGAUCCUAGUUCUAACACAACUUAAUGAAAAAUCUUUACUUUUGUAUCUCAAAGACUAGAUCUCUCACCACUAAAUUAUUCCACUAAAAACUUAGGUUGUAAAACCAAUCACAAAUAGGUUUUACAAUAUAUAUAUGUGCUUUCACAAAUACCAAAACCUUACUUAAAUAGAUAAGUGCUCUCAAUCAAUCACUUUCAUAACCUAUACAAGUCUCUCAAUUAUAUAAAGUUUUCUAGACUUGAAAACAUAAUGAAAAUCAAUUACAAUCCCUUCUAAACAGUAGUUAUAUUAGCUAAAUAUAAUAUAAUACUCAAUAACCAAAGUAAAAUGGACCAUUCGCAAAUAAGUCUUCAAGUUUCGGUCCAGUCCAACUUCCUUCAUCCAAAGGAUUCGACAUAUACGAUUCAAUCCUUCAAAUAUGUUUCUUCACAUGAAUUAAACUUCAUUGAUCAGCUUGAAUCAUUCCACGAUAUCAGCACAACUCAAAAAUCUGGUUCAAUAAACUGUCAAUAUUCCAAAUAUUGCAAGUUAUUAUUUUGUCAUAAUGGUAAAGGAAGUGGGUACUUCCCUUAACACAUUGCAACAACUUCAAAUAUUUUAACAAACACAUUAAAAUAUAGAAAUACCCAUAUGUAUUAAUAUAAAAAAUAAAACAAUAUGCUAAUAACUUUGAUAUAAGGCGAAGCAAGAAUAGUUUGGCAAGAGCAUGGUUGUGUGUGGCUUGAUUCAGUUUUUUCUUUUUCUAGGAUUUUUUAAGUCAUAUGUGAUAAUACGGUUUGAUUCAAUUCUUGAUAUUUUCAUAUUAUUUUGGGUUUGAAUUUUUGGAUUUUAUUUGACAAAAUGAGCUUUCUUUUAUAGCUUUUGAACAUUAUUUGACAAAAUUUUAAUUUCUUUUCAUAAAUAUUUUUAAAAAAACUAAUUAAUUAAGUAAAAAAUAAUCAAUAACUUUUAAAAAAAGUAUAUAUUAUUUUUUUAAUUAUUUUAAAUAUAAAAUAUCUAUUUUUAACUUAUAUAAAAUUUAAAUUAAUUACAAAUUAAUAAAAAAAUAAAAUUCAAUUGAUUUUGUAAUUUGUGAAUGAAAAUCAUGUAAAACACCAAAAUUGAGAUCGAUUUUUGGGAUUUUCAAAAAUAAAUAAAUAAAAUUCUCUGCAUUAGGCUAGAGUGUUGACAAUAGUAAAUCCAAAAUGUUUCUGGGUUGUUAGUGGAGAUCUAUUGUUGGUUUGGGUGCCCAUUAAUUUUAUGUGGCAAGUAGUUGAAAGGCUCGUUGCUUUUACAUGUGCUGCCUUUACAAGGCGACUUGACAAUAGAUGUAUGUGAGCAUUUGGAUCCUUGGGCCUUUAUCCUAUGUGAGAGGGAUUUAACACCUUAUAUGGUGUUGACUGUUGAAGCAUUUCAUCGGUUUUAAUAAUUGGGGUUGGAAUUGUUCAUAAUAUGUUUGUAAUUUGCAGCACUAUCUGAUGUUUUUAUUAAGACUCUCUUCGUAGCAUCUUGUGUUUGAAACAAGAAUGAAGUGGUCUUUUUCCAACAUUAAAUUACAAUGCAACACUUUCCCUCCCUUAUAAAUACGCCUCUAAUUUUAUCAAAAUAAUUAAUUUUGUCUUUUCAACCCUCAAACUUGGUAGAUUGCCACGUAUACGACAUGUUAUCAUUUAAUUAUUAUUUUUAAUUUUAAAAUAUAUAUUUUUAAUAAUUUUUAAAAUUUUAAAUUUUAAAAAAAUUAAUUAAAUGAUGACAUGUCAUCUAUGUGGCAAUCCACUUGCAUGCCACGUUAAAAAAGUUAAAAAUAUUUUUCAUCUAUUUUAAAAUGAUUUAACAAAAAAUAUAAAUUUAAGAGCUAGAUAAAAAUUUAAAUAGAAAACUAUAACGAGUUCUAAAUAUUUAAUUGUUUAAGUCCACCAAGCACUGCCCAAUCACGAAAAGAGAAGAAGGAAAAAAAUUAUUAAAACAUAAUAGUUUAACUCACAAUCAAUUCAUUAAUGGGAAAGUUAAUAAAUAAAAUAGGAAAUGAAUACAUGAUUGAAUAAUUAUUUACAAGGAAGAUGUUUAGAAUGAGAUUUUUGGGCAGUGAAUUCUUUGAUAUACCCUUGUAAUAGUUUGAAAUUAAAAAUAAAAUACGAUUCACUCUAGUCUAAAAAUGAAUGUAUUGAGAUUGUAUUACCAACCCCAAUUCUCUCUUAUCUUUAUCUCUCAAUUGCCUCAUCUCUCUCGCCGAUAAUCUUAUUUUCCCCACUCCAUUUAUUAUUGUUUACCAUCAUCCAUGUAAUUGUUUCUUACUUUUCCUUUUCAAGAGGCUCAACCUCUUCAUUUUACCAUCUUCUUCUUUCGUUCUUUCUCUCUCCGGAAAAUUCAAGUCUCCAUCAUCCUUUACAGAUAUUCAAGAAUGAAUCUACAAAAGAAAAAGAGGGAGAAGCUCUAUGUUAUUUUCCGGGGGAAGAAACCUAGCAUCUACCACUCAUGGAAGGAGUGUGCAUCGCUAGUUAUUGGCUUUAAGGGGAACAUGUACAAGUCAUUCAAAUAUAAGAAUGAUGUAGUUAAAGCCUUGAAGAGGUUUGAAAACUCUAGUGUUAUACUUCUUUCCUCAUCUAUGCAGAAUCCCACAUGUCAAGAACAUGGUACUCGAGUUCUAUGCUAAUUUUUAGAAGACAAUAACUGAUAAUGAUGAUGAGCACUAUAUAAAGGCCUAUGUGCAUGAGCAUAACUUCUCCUUCAACCCCAUUGACAUCAAUAAUUCUUACCCCAUAGAAGAGAAGAUAAUGAUGAUAAUUUGUUCUAAACUAUUAAUCUUACUGCACAACUAACAACAUCAGGACCACAUGGCUUGAAGGUUAAGACUUUAUGAAUUCUAAAUUGGAACCAAAUGAUGCCACCCUUCAAACAAUUAUAACCAUGAUCUGGUUUCCAUCAAAACAAGGCAUGUGUGCUAACAAAUG
rnacentral:lncRNA from 1 species